GUCCACACCGUAAACGUUGGGCGCUAGGUGUGGGAUCCAUUCCACUGGUUCCGUGCCGCAGCUAACGCAUUAAGCGCCCCGCCUGGGGAGUACGGCCGCAAGGCUAAAACUCAAAGGAAUUGACGGGGGCCCCGCACAAGCGGCGGAGCAUGCGGAUUAAUUCGAUGCAACGCGAAGAACCUUACCUGGGUUUGACAUAUGCCGGAAAGCUCUAGAGAUAGAGCCCCUUUUAGUCGGUAUACAGGUGGUGCAUGGCUGUCGU
rnacentral:rRNA from 1 species